UACAGAGGGUGCAAGCGUUGUCCGGAAUGAUUGGGCGUAAAGCAUCUGUAGGUGGUUUCUAAAGUCAACUGUCAAAUCCCAGAGCUUAACUUUGGACAGGCAGUUGAGUACUUAGGGACUUGAGUAUGGUAGGGGUAGAGGGAAUUCCUAGUGGAGCGGUGAAAUGCACAGAGAUUAGGAAGAACACCAGUGGCGAAAGCGCUCUACUGGGCCAUGACUGACACUGAGAGAUGAAAGUUAGGGGAGCGAA
rnacentral:rRNA from 1 species